AGUUGGGGCUGUUCAGCUUGGAGAAGACAAGACUCCAGGGAGACCUUGCUGCAGCCUCUCAGUACUUAAAGGAAGCUUAUAAGAAAGAAGAUCUUUUGCUCCAGUAUUCAUUCUACUGAAGGCAAAAUAUGGCUCUCCCCUGUUAAAAUUAUGAGAAUGCAGAGCUAAGCACCCCAGUUUCCUGUGUGGAGUAGCAGGGAAGAAGGAGAAGGCUACAGAAAGAAGAAGAAACUGCAUACUUUCUUGCUGGGCUUUUUUGUCAGCUGCAAUUUACUGUGAACCUGCAGCUUCUUUGUUCCUACCCAUCACACAGGAAAAACUUUUCUUCUAGUCUACAUUUAAUCUAUUUCAAGCAGUCUUUUGCCAUUCCAACAUUAGAGUUUUAGUUAAGGAAUGUCUUUUUGAAACAUAUUGUCCAGUUGUCCCCACUUACUGCUUGUGGCAUUGCACGCCUGGAGUCUGUACACUAGACCCCUUUCAGAUUAAAUUAAGCCAUGAGAUUCUCCAGGAGCACAUUUGAUGUGGGUGAACCACAAUGCAUGUUCAGUCCACUGUACCAGACGAGCUGGUCUUAAGUAACCCUCCUAAAAGGCACCUAAUGUAGAUGUCAGGCUUUCAGCAUGAGCUGUUUCCUUCUGCUGACCCUUCCUAUCUUGGUGCAUUACUUGUGGUGCAGACAGAGCCCUUCUCUCAGGUUGCUUCAGGUUGCUUGGACUGAAAUGUUUUUCUGCUUCCUAUUUACCAUUGGCCUACAGCUAGUUCUCACCUUCACCAGCAUUCAGCUGCCUCUCUGGAAAGCAUAUGAAAAAAAAAUCUGUACAAAUUUGUACAAAAUCUGUACAAAAUUUGUACAAAUCUGUACAAAAAUAUUAACAGACAGCUGACACAUAGUGAAAACAAAUCACCUGAUUAUGGAAAUAAAAGUGAGAAGCAGCACUUCAUUGAUUUGUAAGAAAAACUUUUUUAAAAGUUCAAUAUGUGUCUACUUCACAUCUCCUUAGCUGCAUAAUCACUCAUAUUUUAAACUCUCCUGAAACACAGCUGCACAUGAGAGAGCAGAUUUCUGGCAAAUCCCAACUUCCCUGCAUCAGUGCAGGCAGGCAUUUCUUAGAUACCCAGAUAUGAUUGUCCACGACUGUGAUUAGCACUAUUAACAUGCUACCUAACUGAAUGCCUCCCACUCAGAGGAUCAGGGGUACGUAGGGGAUUUGUGUCUCAGGGUGCUCCUACUGCCAGGCUGGCAGGUCCCUCUCUGUCCCAGCUCUCAUUUCCCACAUGAAGAAUCAUUUUCAGUGAGAUGCAGCAGGAGAGCCUUGGUUGGGAGCCCACCCUGUGGGUGUGCAGGGCACUCUCAGAGCAGAGGGUGUCCCUCGUGCAGGACCUGAUUUCUCAAACUCUGGCACUUUGGUGUUAGGCUGAGCUGCUCUCCACUGCCAAGGCAGAGCUACACCACAGCGUGCUCUGAAGCAACACUGUAGGUGUUUGUGACAGGAUAAAUAGUCAAGAAAAUGGAAACAGCUGCUGAAAUUAGGAAUUUCCUCACACAAGCAGAACUAUGGAGGUGGAUCAAGCUGCAAUGAACAUAAUUUCAGGGCACCAGAAGUUUCCAAACUGAAACAUUUUUGAACUCACUGCAUUUUAACAACACAGGGGGAAGUACAGAAUAAUUAG